UACGUAGGGUGCAAGCGUUGUCCGGAAUUAUUGGGCGUAAAGAGCUCGUAGGCGGUCUGUCGCGUCGGCUGUGAAAACCCGGAGCUCAACUCCGGGCCUGCAGUCGAUACGGGCAAACUGGAGUGUUGCAGGGGAGACUGGAAUUCCUGGUGUAGCGGUGAAAUGCGUAGAUAUUCGGAAGAACACCAGUGGCGAAGGCGGCUCACUGGCCCGGUACUGACGCUGAGGUGCGAAAGCGUGGGGAGCAAACAGGG
rnacentral:rRNA from 1 species